rnacentral:lncRNA from 1 species
GAAGAUUUUAAAAAUUCAACAUACUUAUAGAUGGUUUCUCUUUAACUGUUUUGAUUUGAGAAUUUUCAGAGACAUGAAUUUUAUUCCUUAUUUCUUUCUGCCUCUGGUGGGAUCUCUCCAUAAAUGAUUUUUUCCUCUUUAUAAAUGCUUCUUGUAAGCUCCCUGGUACAGGUGUAAGCCUGCGAGGGGUUUCUGCUGGGGGAAAAGAAAUUUAUGACAGAAAUAGGCAAAGUAUCUACUUUCCAUUAGAAGUGUGGAGGCCGUCCAAGGCUUACCUGUAGAUGCUGUCCUUGGUUUUUCUAUGGAAAGUUCUGAUACAGCUGGAUAAUCUGAGGCUUCUGUUGCUGAUACAAGAGGCAGAAACUCACUCACCUAAUGGCAAGAAAGUUGCAUGUUUUACUCUUUUUAAACGCUUUAAGCGGGUCUUGCUCUGCUGUCAGAUUAGAGUGCAGCGGCAUGAUCACACCUCACUGCAGCCUCAAUCUUAGCUGGGUCUACAGAGACCCGCCACCAUGCCUGAUUUUUGUAUUUUUUGUAGGGAUUGGGUUUUGCCUUGUUGCCCAGGCUGGUCUUGAACUGGGCUUAGGCUCCACUGCCCUCACACCUCUAGGCCUCUGUUUAGAUAGCUUUAUUCUUAUUGCCUCCCUACUCCCCUAGUAAAAUUACCAGUUGUUCUGAAGUCAUUUUUCAAUAUCUGGGAAUAAGUUUAGGUAAAACUUCCAACUUGGCACUAUAACACUAGGUGUAUAAGAUUAGUUCUGCCAGUCUUGGAGACAGGCAUAAAUUGGAGUGGGGAUUAAAAGAAAAUGCACAAUGGUUGACAGAAUAGUGAAGGUUUAAGACAAAUUGAGAGCUGGUGGGGGUGUCGGCUUAGUUAAAUGCAUAGCAUAAUUCCCUCCAAUGAGUACCUUCUGAUAAGUUGUAAGAGACAAAUCAACUGGUUUGCUUGUAAUAGAAUAAAAUAGAAGGAAAGCUUAAAUUUACCUGAAAGAAGCAUUUUGCUUCAUUCUCGCUCUUCUCUUCUAGGGUUAAAUUUGCAAAAUCCAUUUCAGCAAUACUGGUAUCAGUGGUGCUUAUUAAAGUAAGUUCUGGUUCUUCCAUUAUACCAUGGCCAGUUUCUGUUUCCUGUGAACCACAAUUAAAAGGAAAACCAUGUCAAAAUAGCCUUAAAAGACUUAAACUAAUCGUUUUGUAUAUAAUGCACAUUUUUUGCAAGUGUAUAUAAAUGUGAAAAUGGAGGAAGAAAAGCAAUGAUUGGCAAAGACCAACAGAUCAGAUUUCCUUAGGCUUCCAUAACUCCAGCAUUCAGUUGUAGAAAUACUGGAGCCUACUUUGGGGAGGGGAUGAAAUAGUGUGACAAUGGACUGAAAGGUAUCUACCACAAUGAUUACAAACCUAAAUGCUUGUAGUGUUGGGCAAAAAAUAUAAAUGCAGGUUGGCUGUGCCGAAUUGUAUCCUUUAAAGGGAGCAGGGGUCGACUGGGCUGCUACCAAAUGUGGGCCACUGACUGCUAACAGAUAAUGUUUCAAAAGUAUCUAAACACAACAAGAACAAAAGCAGCCACAUAAAACGUGGUUUAGUUGUAAUUCUUAUUUUCAAUCUGUUAUGUUUAUUUGUGGAAGGAUAAACUGCACAUACUGCUAGAUGAAAACCAGUCACCAGUUGACUGGUGUUGAAAGCAAGCAGAUUAUAAGUUGCUUAAUAUGAGGAGCAGGUUUCCAAUACUUAUUCCAAUAAUGGAUGAAUUCAUUGCACUGGAAUGAGGCUCAACACUGAAAGUGCUGAAGCACAGGCAGAACCACCAUUUUUCAGGGAAGUUGGAGAAAGGAUAUCUGAAUUGGGAGAAAAAGGAUCUUUUGUAAAAUACUCUCAGAAGACAGUUUUCAAAUUUUUAAGUUUCUGCAUUAUGCUGGAUAUUUCUAGUGAUCACAAGCUGGAUAGCAAUAUUAACAAGCAGUUUUGCUUGUAUUUUGUUUCAGGUUUUUCCUGCCAGGCAUUGUGGUGUGUCCAAACUACUUCGGAAGUUGAGGCAGGAGGAUCCCUUGAUCCUAGGAGUUUGAGUUCAGCCUGGGUAGCAUAGUGGGAACUUCAUCUCUAAUUUUAGAAGAAAAAAGUUUUUUCCCAAAAAGGAAUUUAAAUGUUAUUUAUACAACACUGAUUUCACUUACCCAGACUGGUAUAGAGCUCUGUAAUGAAAAUGAUCCAGAACUUGCAAAAAGCUCUGAUUCUCCUAGUUGAGAUAGUUUUUUGGUGAUUUUUGGAAUGUCUGUUUCAGCUGAAUUCUCAAAAUAUUUUUCAUUUUGAGUAGUUAAGGAAUAUGGUGCCUGAAUUGAAGUUCCCAUCUCCACUGUUCUUACACAUAAUCGAGAGUCAGUUUCCUCUACCUGUGGAUUUAUGUCUAAAACCCUACAGGUUUCAUUUUUAUUAUCUUCAAUGAGUCCUUGACUUUGUAACAUUGUAACAACCCCUCUUUUUGAUAGUUCUUCAAAGCCCAUACUUUCCUUUCUGCUUUCUAGUUGGUGUUUUGUUGAGCACUCACUAGAGUUAGAACCACAUGGAGUGCUAUGCUGUACAUUUAACUGAUCAAAUACAUUAGCUUCAUCAGAUGAACUGUAGACUGAACUUAAGUUUCCUAUAGAAAGCUGGAAAUGAACAAUUUUUUUCUUGUUUUGUAAUAUUUCAGUAUGUUCUUCAGAGGGAUAGUUCUGAUUUUUCAUGCCUUGGGAAGAAUCUCUUGCUUCAAUGCUAAAAAUACUUGGUAGAUCAGCAUGCUGGCUCUCCUCCUGUGAAGAAUAUUCUGGCUGAAGCUGUUCAAAACAUUGUUCAGAUCCUGCAUUAAGAAAUUCAAAAAUCAGUUAAUCAUCGUUACAUGUUGUAAAAGUUGGAUACUGACAGUCUCUAAUAGUUUAUCAUCCAAUUGCAAGUAACCUACAAUUUUAGGCAUAAAAGUUGAUGUGUAUAAACAUGAAUACAAAGAUAAGGAUGGUCACAGUGAUUUCUCAAACUACAGCUCACACCAAGUAUUUUUUCUUUUUCUAUUAAUAUUUAAUAAGGACAAUAUGGCUAUAAACUGAGGAUGUUUUCCUCUAUAAGAACUGAAUAUGACUUUAAUAACAGAAAAGAGAAUAAAGCAUCCAUGUGUAUCUCAAUUA